CUGGCUCAGGAUGAACGCUAGCGGCAGGCUUAACACAUGCAAGUCGAGGGGCAGCGCGAGUAGCAAUACUUGGCGGCGACCGGCGCAAGGGUGCGUAACGCGUGAGCAACAUGCCCGUAUCAGGGGGAUAAUCCAGGGAAACUUGGUCUAAUACCCCAUAGUAAUUUCGUAAGGCAUCUUAUGGGAUUUAAAGCUUUGGUGGAUACGGAUUGGCUCGCGUGACAUUAGCUGGAUGGUAAGGUAACGGCUUACCAUGGCAAUGAUGUCUAGGGGUUCUGAGAGGAAGGUCCCCCACACUGGAACUGAGACACGGUCCAGACUCCUACGGGAGGCAGCAGUGAGGAAUAUUGGACAAUGGAUGGAAAUCUGAUCCAGCCAUGCCGCGUGAAGGAAGAAUGUCCUAUGGAUUGUAAACUUCUUUUGUAUGGGAGCAAUAAGGUAUUCGNGAAUACUGAUGAGAGUACC
rnacentral:rRNA from 1 species